GGUCUCUUAGCUUAGUAGGUAAAGCAGUGGAUUUGUAACCCAUUGUCCUAGGUUCGAUUCCUGGAGAGACCUCCA
rnacentral:tRNA from 1 species